CGUUUUUCGAGACAGCGCCACCUUUCAAAUUGGAUCGGAUAAACACAUGGAUAAACACGUGAAGAACCGAAACACGGCCAUCAUUCAUGGCCUAUGUGAGCUGCAGGCAUUAUCCUGGCAGGAGGCUGAGGAGGUGUUCCUUCGUGGCCCUACUUAUCACCCUAGUGAAGUUGAGGAAUUUGACCGGGUGAUUGCAAAAAGAAUGAGAAAAGAAGCAACAUUUGCCUCCCAGAAACAAGAUGACAGUGAUUAAGGUGAUCGUUAAAUAAAGUACAGAAUUGUUCAUUAUUGGUGUUUUGUCUAUUAUUUGAGUUUUGCUUCACAUUCAAAA